ACUGCCCCCUAAAAUUUAUAAACCUAUAUUUGUUCGCCAAAAGCCAGCUGGACGAACACAGGAAAGGAAUUUGUUACUUGACACGGGAAAGCUACAACUCAAAGUAGCCAUUUUCCAUAUAUCGCUUGUCAUCUACUUUGUUAAAUAGUUGCGUAAAUCCUCGCAUGAUAGAGCAACGAAGUAAUAUGCUUUAGGGAUAAAACACGCGCUACCUAUGCAAUAUGCUCUGUCCAACGAGCUAGGAAAGAAAAAAAGGAACAAAGGAAGAUAUUAGUUAAUUAAUUAAUUAAUAGAAAAUAAUAUUAUUGAAUAAAAGGGAAG
rnacentral:sRNA from 2 species